GCUUGACGGGCGGUGUGUACAAGGCCCGUCAAGCGAUGGAAGUUAGGAGUACCUGACCUCGCCCCGGUAAGGGGUGCGUAGGGUAAGCCUGGUAACUGGCGCUAAGUCGUAACAAGGUAGCCGUACCGGAAGGUGCGGCUGGAUCACCUCCUUU
rnacentral:rRNA from 1 species